rnacentral:tRNA from 1 species
UCCUUAGUGGCUCAGAGGUUAAAGCGUCUGCCUACAAUGUGGGAGACCUGGGUUCGAUCCCCGGAUCAGGAA